UGUGUCCCAGGUGUGUCCCAGGUGUGUCCCAGGUGUGUCCCAGGCGUGUCCCAGUGUGUCCCAGGUGUGUCCCAGGUGUGUCACAGGUGUGUCCCUGUCCCCAGGCCUCAGCCAAUCAGCGGGCAGGCCGCGCUGGCCGCGUGGCACCCGGGAAGUGUUUCCGGCUCUACACGGCCUGGGCGUUCCAGCACGAGCUGGAGGAGACGGCGGUGCCCGAGAUCCAGAGGGCCGACCUGGGGGCACUGGUGCUGCUGCUCAAGAGCCUGGGUGGGCACUGGGAGGGACUGGGAGGGACUGGGAAUGGAGUUAUGGGCACUGGGAGGGACUGGGAAUGGAGUUAUGGGCACUGGGAAUGGAAUUAUGAGCACUGGGAGGGACUGGGACAGACUGGGACAGACUGGGACAGACUGGGAGGGACUGGGAACAGGCCUGAGAGCGCUGAGACAGAGAGUGCUGCACCUGGAGACACAGGGGCGGAUCCAGCGGUCGGUGCUGGGCCGGGCCGAGCAGGCCUGCACUGGCCUGCAGGAGCAGGGCUGGCUUUGUGCCGGGCCUAUCCCAGUUAAUCCCAGGCCUAUCCCAGUUAAUCCCAGAGUCAGUCCCAGUUAGUCCCAGAGUCAAUCCCAGCUAAUCCCAGGUUUAAUCCCGGUCUAGGGGCGGAU
rnacentral:lncRNA from 1 species